GCGAAAGUAAAUAAUUAUAUUACACAAGUUAGGGAAGCAUUCAUUUUUCAUCAUGAAGUCAAUAUCUGAGCUGUGUCAGAAAAAAUCAUAGGAAUUGAUUAUAUUCUUGAAACAUAGAACUCUACAUUAUCCACGGCAAAUUCCACAAUUUAAGAUGAAUCCAUUUGGAAGACUUUCUAGUGUGGAUCAAAUGGAACAGUGGGCCUUUUUUCAACUGCAACAAUGCAAAUGUAACGGGGAACAAAGUCUGCGACAUGGGGAUUACGCCAGCGCUUUUGCGAUGUAUAAUACAGCAGUGGAAUAUUGCAAUAUGUGCGGUCCUUUUCUGAACGUUCCGGAGGAACUUUCAAAUAUCCUCAGCAAUCGUUCAUUGGUUUUAAGUAAAAUGGGGGACUUCGGAUUGGCUUUGACGGAUGCCCAACAAUGCAUUGGAUUAAACCCUCAUGGGGCUAGGGGGUAUUUGCG